rnacentral:rRNA from 1 species
GAUGAACGCUGGCGGCGUGCUUAACACAUGCAAGUCGAACGAGAAGUGAAGACGGAAACCUUCGGGCGGAAGGCUUUAUUUCGAGUGGCGGACGGGUGAGUAACGCGUGGGUAACCUGCCUCAUACAGGGGGAUAACAGUUGGAAACGACUGUUAAUACCGCAUAAGACCACAGCACCGCAUGGUGCGGGGGUAAAAACUCCGGUGGUAUGAGAUGGACCCGCGUUCGAUUAGCCAGUUGGCGGGGUAACGGCCCACCAAAGCGACGAUCAAUAGCCGAUCUGAGAGGAUGACCGGCCACAUUGGGACUGAGACACGGCCCAAACUCCUACGGGAGGCAGCAGUGGGGAAUAUUGCACAAUGGGGGAAACCCUGAUGCAGCGACGCCGCGUGAGUGAAGAAGUAUUUCGGUAUGUAAAGCUCUAUCAGCAGGGAAGAAAAGGACGGUACCUGAGAAGAAGCCCCGGCUAACUACGUG